GAAAUAAACUGGAUAAUGGAACAAGCCCUUAAGCAUGGCUAUAAAUUGGGUACCAUUAAUAGACUCAUAAAAGAGAUGAUGAAGACUAGGCCAGUUAACAAUGCUGAUAGACAAACAAGAUAGAAAAACGCAUAUGAUUGACAUCAACUCCAUCUCCUUAAAAUUAAAAAGAAGCUGGAGAAACUGUCCAGCUAUAAAAUCGUAUUUAAUAGAAGAAAUACAUUAUUUAAUCGCAUUAGGAAUGAUAAGGAUAGAAUUAUUGACGAGUACUACCCUGGAGUAUACCAGAUUCCAUUCUACGAUAGUGAAACAGACAC
rnacentral:lncRNA from 1 species